ACCCAAAAGAGAUCGCGUGGAGGCCCUGCCUGGGGUUGAAGCGUUAAAUCUAAUCAGGCUAGUCUGGUAGUGGCGUGUCCGUCCGCAGGUGCCAGGCGAAUGUAAAGACAGACUAAGCAUGUAGUACCGAGGAUGUAGGAAUUUCGGACGCGGGUUCAACUCCCGCCAGCUCCACCA
rnacentral:tmRNA from 1 species